rnacentral:sRNA from 1 species
AGAUGCUGCGCAGCAGUCUCCGAUUCCCCAUCACCAAUUGGGCUGGCGUCUCCAAGACCGCGGGCUCCCGUAGGGUCCCCGUGGCCCCGAGUUGUAGUCGGGACACCCCGGCCGCGGGUGAUCGUCGGGUCUCCACGCGCCCGGGUCGCUGGCGCGGAUCCGGCCUCGGCGCCUUCUCAGGGCGCCCUGCAAGGCCGCAGGCAGGAUGAACAUUCUGGCACCCGUGCGGAGGGAUCGCGUCCUGGCGGAGCUGCCCCAGUGCCUGAGGAAGGAGGCCGCUUUGCACGGGCACAAAGACUUCCACCCCCGCGUCACCUGCGCCUGCCAGGAGCACCGGACAGGCACCGUGGGGUGAGUUAGGGACACCCACAACAAAGAGAGGAGGUCCCAGGAAACUCUGUAGUCAUAGCGAGGGUAAACAACCACCCCCUUGGGGCUUCAUUUCAGCCCCUACCAGCUAUAUGGUUAUUUCCCCCUCUUUAAGCCCCUGUAUCCUCU